rnacentral:rRNA from 1 species
CGGUAACAUUUCUAGCUUGCUAGAAGAUGACGAGUGGCGGACGGGUGAGUAAUACUUAGGAAUAUGCCUUUGUGUGGGGGAUAACUAUUGGAAACGAUAGCUAAUACCGCAUAACGUCUUCGGACCAAAGGGGGCUUCGGCUCCCGCGCAAAGAGUAGCCUAAGCGAGAUUAGCUUGUUGGUGAGGUAAAGGCUCACCAAGGCGACGAUCUCUAGCUGUUCUGAGAGGAAGAUCAGCCACACUGGAACUGAGACACGGUCCAGACUCCUACGGGAGGCAGCAGUGGGGAAUAUUGCACAAUGGGGGAAACCCUGAUGCAGCCAUGCCGCGUGUGUGAAGAAGGCCUUCGGGUUGUAAAGCACUUUCAGUUGUGAGGAAAGGUUAACGGUUAAUACCCGUUAGCUGUGACGUUAGCAACAGAAGAAGGACCGGCUAACUCCGUGCCAGCAGCCGCGGUAAUACGGAGGGUCCGAGCGUUAAUCGGAAUUACUGGGCGUAAAGCGCACGCAGGCGGUUUGUUAAGCUAGAUGUGAAAGCCCUGGGCUCAACCUGGGAAUUGCAUUUAGAACUGGCAGGCUAGAGUUUUGGAGAGGGGAGUGGAAUUCCAGGUGUAGCGGUGA